rnacentral:lncRNA from 1 species
CGCAAGUGCAAGGUCCCGUGUUGGAUCCCUGGUACCCCCCAAAAACCCCAAAACAAAACAACUACUUACUGAAUUAAAAAUGGACUUGUAUACCAUUAGCAUAUAGGUAACCCGAGGUAAUCCUUAGCAGGCUCAUGAGCUCCCUCUGGGGGAAUCUAUACUGUUAGCACCCCAAAAAUUCUGUUGGCCACUGGUUUGCAAACCGAGCUGCAGUGGGAUUUGAGAAGGCUACAUACAGCUAGCAUUCUCUAAGGUCCUUACAGGCACAGGAAAGAGGCACAUGGGAGGAAUGGCCUCGAGACUGCAUCAUAUUGAGAAAUCUUGGUCCUGCAUGGAGUGCCCUAGCAAAGGUUUCUUGUUAGAAUGUCUAGUACUCAUUACAGGCAAUCCAAGGAGGUUCCCAGAGCAGUGCAAUAAGGAACCUAAACCUGCCCUACCCACAGGGUAGGUUUGUAGGUUCAGUGUCUCUUACUGUAGAAAAAAAUUUUGGGGGGAUCGAUUAGAGUCACGGGAAGGAUUUGUUAGGUAGAAACACAAAAGUACAAAUUCAAAUGGAGUGUGGACCUUCAGAAAAACGAGACAUUGUUUCCUGGAACUGGGAACAUUUAUGCUUGUCUUGCAGGGGUGGAGAUCCUGGGAAAAAGCCUACUCCCUAGAAGGGGAUUGAACUGAGGACCUUGUGCUUUCGAGGCAGGCACCGGAACCACUGAGCUAAAUCCCCAGCCCCUUCAUUUUAUAGGGAACAGGGAAAGGGGACAUUACUACAACCUCUGCAGUAAAUCCUAGUCUCCUGCGAGCCACGACAGCGCAAGGCGAAUUACAGGAAAGGUAGAAAAAUGAGACCGAGAAGAAGCUGAGCUUUGGGUUUGAUCAGUGCUGCUCUGAGCGGCAAAGCUGAAAGCCCCCAGCUUACCGUACAUCGGGAGAAACAAAUGUAACAAAUGACUUGCAGAGAGUUCAGUACAUCCGCGUAAACAAGACGUAACAAUCCAAGAACAAUGAGGAACUGAGUAGAUGAAGACUUUGUUCCUCCCAGGAUGUCUUCAGCUGGUGUAAUCUUGUCCUGGAGAAUCACAGCAUCACCGGAUCAUUGAGGUCUCAGUGGUGACCGGAGGCCAAAAUGGAAUUAUGUCUCGCAAUUCCAUAGUUGGGCUGUAGGCAGGAGAAGUAGGCUAACCAAAUGAUUUUCCCCUAAAAUUAUGUAGCAUUGGUCCUGACAGCCCCUCACUUUUUCACAGUUUCCCUUUUUCACAGUUUCUUCCUAUUUCAUAUUAUCUAUUAUACAUUUUUUUAAAAGGUGGGUAAUUUGAGCAUUCUUUGAAUUUUCUCAAUCUUAGGAUCAGGUUCCUGCUCUUUCUCAAAAUCUAUUUAUCUAUAUAAAUAUAUAUUAAAAAUUUUUUUAUAUAUAUUCUGAUUUUUUGAGACAGGGUCUCCCUAUGUAGUUGAGGCUGUCCUUGAACUAUGUAGUCCAGGCUGGCCCGGAACUUGCAGGAUCCUCCUGCCUCAGCCUCCUGAGUGCUGGGAUUACAUGGAUGUGCCACCUUGCCCGGCAUCUAUAUUUCUUAACAUCAGUUAAGGCUCCUCUGGGGUUAUGAUGGGGGCCCUUGGGCAGAGCCUCUUAGGCCUCCCCGUUUCCCCCUCUAUCAGUUGUAUCAUUUGCCAGGAUAGGUCAUGGUCUUGCUUGACCAUAUAUCUUCCCUUGGAAUCAUGGGUUUCCUCUUAACCCUCUGAAGUCUAACAUUCUCCCUGUGUGGGAGGUUGGGUGAUUCACUGGAAUUAUAGAAUGUUUUCAGAGGAGUCCCAGCAUGCACUGGGUUUUGGCUAACCUGGGAGGGAAGGGGUCAAAAUGUUGGUCACUUUCUUAGCCUAGGCAUCUUUUUUAGCUUUUGUCUCUGAGCCUUAAAUGUUGAACACUCAGGUCAGUUAUACCAGUAUUGAAGUGGGAGCAGUAGGUUUUAAUCUUAACUAUUACAAUUUUAUCUGGACAUUGGGCACUUUGAAAUAGGAAGUCUGACCAGAGAACAGCUACUUAUUUUUUAAUCAUGGUCAGCAUUAGUACUCAGUGUCCUAUGACACUGUCUGGACUGUAGAGUGUUCAGGGCACACCUAUCAUAAUACAAUUAUGUAACAAUCACAUAAACAUAAGCCUAAAACGUCUAUCAUGAUAAACAAUUUUGCUUGAGGACACCAGUGUGGUAAGGUGUUCUAAAUUUUUUGUUUGUUUGUUUUUUUUCUUUUGGUACCAGGGAUUGAACUCGGGAACUUGCGCUUGUAAGGCAGGCGCUGGAACCACUGAGCUAAAUCCCUGGUCCUUUUUGUUUGUUUUGAGACAGUCUCACUAUGUAGUUCAGGCUAGCCAAAUUCACUAUGUAGCCCAGGCUGGCCUCAAACUCU